rnacentral:rRNA from 1 species
UUAAGCGACUAAGCGUACACGGUGGAUGCCCUGGCAGUCAGAGGCGAUGAAGGACGUGCUAAUCUGCGAAAAGCGUCGGUAAGGUGAUAUGAACCGUUAUAGCCGGCGAUGUCCGAAUGGGGAAACCCAGUGUGAUUCGUCACACUAUCGUUAACUGAAUACAUAGGUUAACGAGGCGAACCGGGGGAACUGAAACAUCUAAGUACCCCGAGGAAAAGAAAUCAACCGAGAUUCCCCCAGUAGCGGCGAGCGAACGGGGAGCAGCCCAGAGUCUGAAUCAGCUUGUGUGUUAGUGGAACGGUCUGGAAAGUCCGACGGUACAGGGUGAUAGUCCCGUACACCAAAAUGCACAGGUUGUGAACUCGAAGAGUAGGGCGGGACACGUGGUAUCCUGUCUGAAUAUGGGGGGACCAUCCUCCAAGGCUAAAUACUCCUGACUGACCGAUAGUGAACCAGUACCGUGAGGGAAAGGCGAAAAGAACCCCGGCGAGGGGAGUGAAAAAGAACCUGAAACCGUGUACGUACAAGCAGUGGGAGCACCUUCGGGUGUGACUGCGUACCUUUUGUAUAAUGGGUCAGCGACUUAUAUUCUGUAGCAAGGUUAACCGUAUAGGGGAGCCGCAGGGAAACCGAGUCUUAACUGGGCGUUAAGUUGCAGGGUAUAGACCCGAAACCCGGUGAUCUAGCCAUGGGCAGGUUGAAGGUUGGGUAACACUAACUGGAGGACCGAACCGACUAAUGUUGAAAAAUUAGCGGAUGACUUGUGGCUGGGGGUGAAAGGCCAAUCAAACCGGGAGAUAGCUGGUUCUCCCCGAAAGCUAUUUAGGUAGCGCCUCGUGAAUUCAUCUUCGGGGGUAGAGCACUGUUUCGGCUAGGGGGUCAUCCCGACUUACCAACCCGAUGCAAACUACGAAUACCGAAGAAUGUUAUCACGGGAGACACACGGCGGGUGCUAACGUCCGUCGUGAAGAGGGAAACAACCCAGACCGCCAGCUAAGGUCCCAAAGUCAUGGUUAAGUGGGAAACGAUGUGGGAAGGCACAGACAGCCAGGAUGUUGGCUUAGAAGCAGCCAUCAUUUAAAGAAAGCGUAAUAGCUCACUGGUCGAGUCGGCCUGCGCGGAAGAUGUAACGGGGCUAAACCAUGCACCGAAGCUGCGGCAGCGACACUAUGUGUUGUUGGGUAGGGGAGCGUUCUGUAAGCCUGCGAAGGUGUGCUGUGAGGCAUGCUGGAGGUAUCAGAAGUGCGAAUGCUGACAUAAGUAACGAUAAAGCGGGUGAAAAGCCCGCUCGCCGGAAGACCAAGGGUUCCUGUCCAACGUUAAUCGGGGCAGGGUGAGUCGACCCCUAAGGCGAGGCCGAAAGGCGUAGUCGAUGGGAAACAGGUUAAUAUUCCUGUACUUGGUGUUACUGCGAAGGGGGGACGGAGAAGGCUAUGUUAGCCGGGCGACGGUUGUCCCGGUUUAAGCAUGUAGGCUGAUUGUCCAGGCAAAUCCGGAUAAUCAAGGCUGAGGUGUGAUGACGAGGCACUACGGUGCUGAAGUAACAAAUGCCCUGCUUCCAGGAAAAGCCUCUAAGCAUCAGGUAACAUUAAAUCGUACCCCAAACCGACACAGGUGGUCAGGUAGAGAAUACCAAGGCGCUUGAGAGAACUCGGGUGAAGGAACUAGGCAAAAUGGUGCCGUAACUUCGGGAGAAGGCACGCUGGUGUGUAGGUGAAGUCCCUGCGGAUGGAGCUGAGACCAGUCGAAGAUACCAGCUGGCUGCAACUGUUUAUUAAAAACACAGCACUGUGCAAACACGAAAGUGGACGUAUACGGUGUGACGCCUGCCCGGUGCCGGAAGGUUAAUUGAUGGGGUUAUCCGUAAGGAGAAGCUCUUGAUCGAAGCCCCGGUAAACGGCGGCCGUAACUAUAACGGUCCUAAGGUAGCGAAAUUCCUUGUCGGGUAAGUUCCGACCUGCACGAAUGGCGUAAUGAUGGCCAGGCUGUCUCCACCCGAGACUCAGUGAAAUUGAACUCGCUGUGAAGAUGCAGUGUACCCGCGGCAAGACGGAAAGACCCCGUGAACCUUUACUAUAGCUUGACACUGAACAUUGAGCCUUGAUGUGUAGGAUAGGUGGGAGGCUUUGAAGCGUGGACGCCAGUCUGCGUGGAGCCAACCUUGAAAUACCACCCUUUAAUGUUUGAUGUUCUAACGUUGGCCCCUGACCGGGGUUGCGGACAGUGUCUGGUGGGUAGUUUGACUGGGGCGGUCUCCUCCCAAAGCGUAACGGAGGAGCACGAAGGUUAGCUAAUCCUGGUCGGACAUCAGGAGGUUAGUGCAAUGGCAUAAGCUAGCUUGACUGCGAGCGUGACGGCGCGAGCAGGUGCGAAAGCAGGUCAUAGUGAUCCGGUGGUUCUGAAUGGAAGGGCCAUCGCUCAACGGAUAAAAGGUACUCCGGGGAUAACAGGCUGAUACCGCCCAAGAGUUCAUAUCGACGGCGGUGUUUGGCACCUCGAUGUCGGCUCAUCACAUCCUGGGGCUGAAGUAGGUCCCAAGGGUAUGGCUGUUCGCCAUUUAAAGUGGUACGCGAGCUGGGUUUAGAACGUCGUGAGACAGUUCGGUCCCUAUCUGCCGUGGGCGCUGGAGAAUUGAGGGGGGCUGCUCCUAGUACGAGAGGACCGGAGUGGACGCAUCACUGGUGUUCGGGUUGUCAUGCCAAUGGCACUGCCCGGUAGCUAAAUGCGGAAGAGAUAAGUGCUGAAAGCAUCUAAGCACGAAACUUGCCCCGAGAUGAGUUCUCCCUGAGACUUUAAGUCUCCUGAAGGAACGUUGAAGACGACGACGUUGAUAGGCCGGGUGUGUAAGCGCAGCGAUGCGUUGAGCUAACCGGUACUAAUGAACCGUGAGGCUUAACCUU